UCAAUAAAUAAAUUAUAUUCUUUUAUUUAAAGUUCAGCAAUAGGUAGUUUACAUCAUUAUAAAUUUUCAGGCCAUUGCCUCUAGACAAAGUGACAAACUAAUUAAAACCUGACGAUCUCAACGAGCCAAUGCCUCUAGACACAACUGCUGGCAGAUGAUCAUUAGAAGAAAUAAGUACCCAAACUAAUUGCUUUGUCGAACACCUGCUGUAGAAUACCCUUCUGGCUUGAUUCACUUUUAUUGUUGUUGUCGUACCUUGGGUACAAAAGGAUUUGAUAAGCGGGAUCAAAAAAAUCAUCCACCCCAUGAACAACGAUACGUCCAUCAUUGUAGAUAUUCCACUGUGAGAUCUUGACACCGUUAAUGGCACCGUUUUCUUCAGCAUGAGGUAGUCUAGUAACAACAAGGGGAUGACCAUGCAGGAUAGAGCUUUGUCCUCCUCACUUUGCCGCUUGGGUUGCAUGAUAGAGCUUCAACUUGGAAAAAAUCUUUACUUAAGACUUUAAGAGUAAGAUGAGUAAAACUAGUGUUGGUACUAAACAAAAGCUUUCCUUCAUCAUCUUGUUAAAUUAUGCCUUUAUCUUUCUCUGCAAUGGUAUUGUAGUGCUCACUGCUUAAUGCAGAGAAAGGGAACAUGUAAGGUUUUAUAGAGCAGAACUUACAUCGAAGCCUAUUUUGUCUUGCAUUAGAAUAAAACAGUUUUAAGGCAUUUCACAUUUGGGAUAUAUGUCUUACUUUAUACUAUAAUAUUCAAUAUAUCCAGAUACUUUCAAUCCAAUGCCAGAGUUGCUAGAAUUUACCUACAACCCAAUAUUGGAUUCAAGAUACUACAUUGAUACCUACUAUCCAUGAUUUAGUAUCUAGACAGUUCUGUAACAGGAAGUAUACGCACUUCAGUUGGACUGAAUUAAAAACAAUGUAUGUAAUCUUUCUUCUUUUAUCUUUUUCUUAAGUUGAUGUAAAGAGCAAAUAUCCUUCAAUCCAGUGUUAUAAUGUACAGGGAGUAAUACAAUCAAGUGAUGACUUCCCAUUUAUUCAUUGUUAACUUAAUGCUUAACGUGCAUGAGAAUGACAGUCUCCUUUACAACAGAAAACAAACACAGAACAUGAGAACCCUAGACACUUACAAAUUAAUACCAUGUUGCAAAUCAUAAUGCCAUUCCAAUUUAAAAUAACAGAUAACCUGGUCUAAUCUCUUAUUAUUUUCCUAUUUUUGCGAUGCAAGUUAAGAGAUGAAACAAGAUGAAAUAUAUAAUCCAUAAAAUUGCAAUAAUCUAAAAUCUAAAAUCUGGAUACAAUUAUACAAGCAGCCACAAGUUGAAAUAGCUGAUUUUUUUUUUUUUGGCUGAUACUAGUACUACUAAGAUAAAGCAGCCACAACAUACAUUUAUGACAUACAGUAUAUUAAUUUUACAACGAUUAUAGAAUCUCUGUGCAUAAGCAGAACAUAUAUUUGAGCAAACAAUCAGACAAGAGAGUAAAUACACACUGGUUCAUUAUAUACAUACUAGGUACCAAUAUAAAAUUGCACCCAAUCGUGAGGUAAUAUAUGUCGAUGACUUCAAAAGAUGUACAAUACACUGUACACAAUAUAUGUAAUUCAAGCAUCAGUCCAGGAAAUGUCCAAUUCUCCCCAGUCACUUUCGGGAACACCCAAAGCUUUCCAGACAGCUUUCGAGGCAUCUACAAUGUUGUUAGGACAUGGGGGCUGGUAAUCAUGGUCACUGUCGCACCCCAUAGUCGAGUCGCAUUCAUCUACAACCAUGGCUAACACACUGCGAUCAUUACCGUUGAUUCUUAUGUUCUUAAGACACCUGCUUUCGUUGUUGAACCAUCCUGUUGAAAGUGCUACAACUGGUGUAUCAUCAGAAUGGUACUGAUUAUCACAUUCUGAUGGUCCACCACCAUCUCCUCCUUUCUCAAAGCUAUUGAUUGUCAAAACUGCCUUUGUAUUGGUAGACACAGGUGGUGAACACCUAUAAAUGGUGUACAUCUCUCCUUGCUUACAACAGUCAGAAUCAUUUUCUGUGUUGCAUUGACCUGGGGGAGGUUUUCUUCCUCUCACUUUACCACUAGGACUGCAUGCUUCAGUUCCAAAAUUAAGGUGAAAUAUGAUUACAAGUACUGCAAUUAGGAUAAAUCGUCCCUUCAUCUUUUGCACUCUCACUUUCUUCUUGAUUAUACUUCUUUGAUGCUUAAUGUGCAAAGAUAGGUCCCAAGUAAAGCUAUAUAUAGAUAUUAGUUGCUUUCAAUUAAGAUCAUCUUUCCAUAUGAGGUGAAUUUUCUUCCAUCUAGGCAGCACCGGCCAGUUGAAGGCAUCUUCUACUACAGGUUAAAGGUUGGUUCAACACUGUUGCAACUAACCCUUACACCACGUUGUUGUAGAAAAAGGUUUUUCAUUAGUUCAAUGACAAGAAUAUUGGGUUUUAAGACAACUCAAUAGUCUCACCUGGGUGAUAUGGAUUUAGUUUGUUAAUAUACUGUACUGUAGGUUGCAAUUUUAACAGGGUGCCACAAAUAGCAUGUUAAGAAUAUAUCACAGAUAAACCCGAAGUAAUAAACGCAACCAGAUUCCUUUAAAACGAGAAACGCAUAACAUAAUAACCAUAGCUAUCUAAUUGAUGUGUGACUUAAGUUGAACACUAUGUUGAGUGACUCUUACUGAGGGAAAAGAACAGACAUGACAGACCGGCAGUCAAGAACUAAUACUUAUCUGCUAAAAACUUGCCUAACAUCAUGGCCUCCUAUUUUCGCAGGGCAAGGUAAGAGAUGAAGCAAGAAAAACAAACCAAUCUACAUACAGUAAUAUUAUUUUAAGAAUACACAGAAUAUGGAGUAGAUAAAAUGAUGAAUACAUAAUUUUUUUCUUUUUACAAAUUGAAUAUACAAUGUGACUAUAACAAAAUAUACAGGAGCAGUUAUUCAUCAAUUAUAAGUGACUUGUCUACUGCUGAGUGCUGACCCAUCUACUGGUGAAUGGACAUAGACUGCUUUUCUCCCAUCUACUAGUGAUUCUUUCCUUCCAUAGAUCAUAUAUAGAAUUAUAGAUGUAUCAUGGAUUCAUGGUCAUGGACAUGCAACAGCAACUUCUUGGCAGGUUAUAGAUAUACACUAAUGUUGGCAUAUACAGGGAUGCACAGAAUAACAGAGGAGAUCACAAGGGGAAGACAGGACCAAUCCGAGAAGGACUAGAGCUAGCUAGGCGUUUUCAAUUUUAAAGUGGCAGUGGUACAAAUUUCCAAAUCAAAUUUUGUAGAGCUCUAAGUACAAAUCGUGAAUACUAUCACGGAGAGCAAAAGAUUAUAGGGGACUAAACUUCAAAACUGUAUCACAAACAAAAAGAAAUGAAAAUAUAUAAGAGAAAAGAAUUACAACAGAUUUCAAUGUGAUCUACGUCAAACAGAAUAUAAAGAACUAAAAUCAAAUCCUACUAUCCUAGCAUGAUGAUUCUUAAAAGGUGAGAGCCUCUGGUCAUCUGGUGUAUGUCAAUGACAAAUCCUCCAUGGCUUCAUCAGAUUUCUAUAGUAUAUUUUCUGUAGUUAUUCAAGCAGUUAUCACACAAUGCAAAGUUCUAUGACAUUCCAAGACAAUGAGGCAAAUUACAAAUAAACAAAAAUAUUUCAAUGAAGUAAUUAAAUCAAUUAUACAUCCACCAAAACGAUAUUAAGUAAAGAGCUCUCAAUGAAUAAUAAUCUUGGAAUAACAUUCGAUAAAUAAAUUAUAUUCUUUUAUUAAAAUUCAGCAAUAGUCAGUUCACAAUAAUCUGAAAGAAACUAAAUUAACAUAUAUCAAAUUUUCAGGCCAAUGCCUCUAGACAAGACUGCUGGCAGAUGCCCAUUUAGAAGAAAUAAGUAACCAAACUAAUUGCUUUGUAGAUCACCUCCUGUAGAAUACCCUUCUGGCUUGAUUCACUUUUGUUGUUAUCGUUGUUGUUGUUGUUGUUGUCGUACCUUGGGUACAAAAGGAUUUGAUAAGCGGGAUCAAAAAAAUCAUCCACCCCAUGAACAACGAUACGUCCAUCAUUGUAGAUAUUCCACUGUGAGAUCUUGACACCGUUAAUGGCACCGUUUUCUUCAGCAUGAGGUAGUCUAGUAACAACAAGGGGAUGACCAUGCAGGAUAGUAUCAAUCUUAGAGUGCAGCUUGUAUGAUGACUUGAAAGUCUCCCUCUCUAACUUCACAGGUGCAACAUGAUAUUUAAGUAGUGUCAUGGGAUAUCUCAAGGAGAAGAAAGCUUGAUCAGGUGGAGUGAAUAUGGUAAACACUGAUGAAGUAUUUUCGGUGGAGAUCAAUGUAGGGAGAGUCAACUCUAGGGUUAGAGCCAUGGCAUGGUAGCCCGCAUCCGAAACAGCCUUCACAAUAUUAUCUACUUGUUGUCUUCCAAUAUUAAAACCACCAACAGAUGUUUCUCCAAGAGUAGGAUGAAGUAGAACUGAAAAACUUGAAAGUAGAAUAAUAAAGCAUAAAAGAGAAGAUGAUGAACAAUACCUUGACGCCAUAAUAAAUUGAAGAAGCAAUACAAAAUUGUUGAUAACCGACUGCAGGUUCGUUGC
rnacentral:lncRNA from 1 species